AGCACCAGAACUGAGAAAGUCACUUCUUUGGUGGUUUGGGCUUGAGCCCUGGGAAUUUGGUAAGAAGGGGGAGAGCGAAUUUAUUUAGG